UCAUGUAAACAGUUGAAGUGUGUUGUGUUCCUGUAAUGUGGUUCAUUAAGUUCAUAAAACUGUGGCUGGUUGACAUUAAUUUAACGUUCUGGAAACUUAAAUGUGAUUAAAACAGUAACGUUAAUGUUCUAGUUGUCAGUAAUCAGCUUUAAUUUUACACUAAAACAGACUGAUAGUUUUAAAUGACAUCAGUUUCAUUAAUUUGUUGAAAAUUGUCUCAUUUGUUGUGAUUUUGCUGCUGAUUUAUUAAAAGCAGAUGAUCCGUGUUGAAGAUACGUUUAGUUCUAUUAUCAGAAGUACAAGAAGGAAAAUGGAAGUUUAGUUCUGCUACAUCAAAGAUUUCAGGAUUAAAAUAACUAAAUGAGUCUUUAUGCCUCAAACUUUAUUUUUACAAUAAAGGAAUAAUGAAAUAAUCACAGAUAAUAAAAAUAUAAAUAGCAGAGAAAACCUGAGAGAAUAAUUUCCUGAAAAGUCUGUGAAGGAAAAGCAGCUUUUUUAUUCUGAAAGAUCAGAAUCAGUUCCAACAUCUGCAUCAGACAGCAUCAAGUCAACCAGAAAGAAAAGAAAAAAGAAAAUGACUUCUUUCUGAUCGCAUCUGUUCCGCUGCUCACAGUCUGCUGCUGAUCACAUUCCUCACAUUUACAGUCCACUUUUAAAAGUUCAGCAGACAGGUGCUCUGCUUUGGAGUGUGACGAUGUCAUUGGUGAUGUGGAGAGUGAAGUUUCCGUUUCACCCACAGCGUGCUUUAGGGCAGCCGGGUCGGACUUGAUGUUUGAAAUACUGACCGACAGCUCAGAUUUAACUGUCUGUAGUUCUGUUUUGACUUUCACUCAAAACCGCCAGGAGCUGGGUCUUUAAAAUAACCGCCGUCUCGUUACAGAGUGAAAGUAGCAGUUCCUCCUUAAGGUCAGAGAUUGCAGCAUCUGAGGGCCUCUUCAAAAGAAGACGUAGUUGAUGAAGGCGUUCUGGAGCAGGACCAGAAAGACCACGACCAAGCAGCCUUGAGAUCUUAUGCAGCGUCUCCCUCAGGUCCCUCUCUAUCUCCCCACACAUCCACCAACCACUGGAACACAUCUCCAAAGUUCUGCCGGUCCAGCUCAGCUUCCCCUCAGAAGAAGUGCCGCCACCUGCCAGAUGAAGGAGCCUUUUGAGAGGCAGCUGACAUCGUGAUUGGACUGUACUUUGGUCUGUUCCAAUCCAGCUUCAGCUCCAGAGACGGCAGGCGGGACGAGUCAACGGAGGCCGGGUGGACGAAGGCAUGCAGCUGAGUACAAUCCAGAAAACAACAGAGGAGGAGCGCAAACAGAGUAGCAUGACCAAAGAACUACAGACUCUUCACAACCUGCUCAAACUCUUGGUACAGGACCUCACCACACGGGUCAAGAAGGUUUCCUGCUCAUUUCUACUUCAAAGCUCACCUUCUCCUGCUCAAACUGCUGACAAAUGUUUCUGCUUCUCUAAAGUCUGCUCUCCAGAACUUCCUAAAAACUCUCAGAGUCUCUUCUGCUGCAGGUUGCUUUGUAGAACUGUUCCAGAAAACCUCACUAAACCACAUGGAGGGGCCUCAAGAUAGUCGUCCAAAUGAAACCGUACAAAAACCAAACUAGCACAACCCAAACACUAAAGUCUCCUGCAGCCUACCAGAGAACCUCUGAGAACAGAGAAUCAGGACAGGAACUCUUACCUUCUGGACAACCAACGCUGGUUCACAAACAAGAAUACAGAAUGUGUCUGACCAAAAACCUCUAAAGACUCACUACAGCCAAGAUAAAGACACAACUCAGCUGUACCAAAUCCACUAAUCACUGCACACAUUAGCACCAUGUGCUAACUGUGGCUAAAGAACCACAUUUACCAAGACAACUAUCCAGUACAAAGCCCUGAAACACACCAAGAAACACAUUAAAGACAAUUUUACUGCUGGAAGCUGCAAGCCAACACCUAAAGAACAAACUAAAGCAAUGGAGCCGAACCCGGUUCAGUGGUGAAGCGAAGCAGAGGAAAUGUUUGUCUGCAGCUAAAUAAAGCAGGAAGACACUGAGCUGCUCAGGUGUUCCUGAUAACACCAAGCAGCCACCUGGACAGCCAAUAGGAACACAGCUUACUGGAAGUCCAGAGGGCUGGCUUAGUGAAGUAAAUUUAGUUUAAAGUUGAAGCAGAAAGUUAACAAAGAAAGUUGAAAACCACCUUCUGAUCCCUGAAAUCUCUGAGUUUUCACACAAAGAACACCUGAACAUGUCAAACUGGUUCCAUAGUAGAACCCUCAUUGUAAAAACGUCAUAGUAUGGUGUGUUGCUCAAAAAAACAUUAGGACCCGGCUGUCUAGGGUCGCCGAGGAGCAACACAAAAACAGGACAAACGCUGGUUUCCAGGGGGUUAGGAGGCUAUUUAUUUGAAAGAGUAAGUUUACAACAACACAACAUGUGAGCAAAAAAAUCACAAAGUCUGUCUUCAGCUGAAAAUAUUAGUUAUUUAUAUAUAUUUAUAUUAGUUUAUUGUCCAAACUUUUCAGGAAGUAGAUGAAGAAUAAUUAAAGCUCUCAUGUAGAAGUCCAACUUAUUUUGGAUCCUUGUGGAGAGUUUAAUCUUAGAGUUUGUAAAGCUGUUGAGUUUUUAGAGUCACAUGGAUUGUUUCGACAUUUAAUAACCGAGUCCUGAAAUAAAAUUACAGUUGUGGAUUUCUGUCAUUUAGUCUGGACUAAACAAAUAACAGCAGCAUAAAUCUCAAACGUCAUUAUGAGGAGUCUGGAUUGAGGUUUCUCACUUGAUAAUGAUCAAAACAUGAAAUUUAGGUUGGUUUAAAGGAAUAUUCCACCUUAAAUCUUUCAAUGUAGACCAAAAAAUCUUGGUGUAAAGGAGUAUUCCACCUUAAAUGUAGACCUAAAGGAUGGUUUGGAGUAAUAUUCUAUUCUAAAAUCUUCCAAUGUAGACCUAAAAGGUUUAUCUGAUGGACUAUUCAGGAACAUUUACGGUACUUAAAAGGUUGGUUUAAUGGUAUAUUCCCAGAAGAAUCCUUGAACAUUGGGCUUAAUGGUAUAUUCCACCCAAAAUACCAAGAAGUCAGUGUAAAGGAAACGUAGACCUAAAAGGAUUGUUUAAAGGAACAUUUAAACUGUUAUUUUCAUUAUUUAAUAAUCUGUUAUCAGUCAGAACCCUGGCAAACUUAUUUUCAUCAGUUUUUUUAGUGGAAGUCACAAAUAAAGGAGCUCUUGGUUUUUCCCAGC